rnacentral:rRNA from 1 species
AUUGAACGCUGGCGGAAUGCUUUACACAUGCAAGUCGAACGGUAGAGGGGCAACCCUUGAGAGUGGCGAACGGGUGAGUAAUGUAUCGGAACAUGCCCAGUCGUGGGGGAUAACGUAGCGAAAGUUACGCUAAUACCGCAUACGAUCUAUGGAUGAAAGCGGGGGAUCGCAAGACCUCGCGCGAUUGGAGUGGCCGAUAUCAGAUUAGGUAGUUGGUGGGGUAAAGGCCUACCAAGCCGACGAUCUGUAGCUGGUCUGAGAGGACGACCAGCCACACUGGGACUGAGACACGGCCCAGACUCCUACGGGAGGCAGCAGUGGGGAAUUUUGGACAAUGGGCGCAAGCCUGAUCCAGCCAUUCCGCGUGCAGGAAGAAGGCCUUCGGGUUGUAAACUGCUUUUGUACGGAACGAAACGCGCUGAGCUAAUACCUCGGCGUAAUGACGGUACCGUAAGAAUAAGCACCGGCUAACUACGUGCCAGCCGCCGCAGUAA